rnacentral:tRNA from 1 species
GGGGAUACAGCUCAGUUGGUAGAGUGCUUGUCUUUUAUGCACAGAGCCCUGGGUUCAAUCCCCAGCACCA